AUUGAACGCUGGCGGCAGGCUUAACACAUGCAAGUCGAGCGGGGUGAUGGUGCUUGCACUAUCACUUAGCGGCGGACGGGUGAGUAAUGCUUAGGAAUCUGCCUAUUAGUGGGGGACAACAUCUCGAAAGGGAUGCUAAUACCGCAUACGUCCUACGGGAGAAAGCAGGGGAUCACUUGUGACCUUGCGCUAAUAGAUGAGCCUAAGUCGGAUUAGCUAGUUGGUGGGGUAAAGGCCUACCAAGGCGACGAUCUGUAGCGGGUCUGAGAGGAUGAUCCGCCACACUGGGACUGAAACACGGCCCAGACUCCUACGGGAGGCAGCAGUGGGGAAUAUUGGACAAUGGGGGGAACCCUGAUCCAGCCAUGCCGCGUGUGUGAAGAAGGCCUUAUGGUUGUAAAGCACUUUAAGCGAGGAGGAGGCUCUUUUGGUUAAUACCCAAGAUGAGUGGACGUUACUCGCAGAAUAAGCACCGGCUAACUCUGUGCCAGCCGCCGCAGUAAAAC
rnacentral:rRNA from 1 species